rnacentral:rRNA from 1 species
UACGUAGGGUGCAAGCGUUGUCCGGAAUUAUUGGGCGUAAAGAGCUUGUAGGCGGUUUGUCGCGUCUGCUGUGAAAUUUCGGGGCUCAACCCCGAACUUGCAGUGGGUACGGGCAGACUAGAGUGUGGUAGGGGAGACUGGAAUUCCUGGUGUAGCGGUGAAAUGCGCAGAUAUCAGGAGGAACACCGAUGGCGAAGGCAGGUCUCUGGGCCACUACUGACGCUGAGACGCGAAAGCGUGGGGAGCAAACAGG